AUUGAACGCUGGCGGCAGGCCUAACACAUGCAAGUCGAACGGUAACAGGAAGAAGCUUGCUUCUUUGCUGACGAGUGGCGGACGGGUGAGUAAUGUCUGGGAAACUGCCUGAUGGAGGGGGAUAACUACUGGAAACGGUAGCCAAUACCGCAUAACGUCGCAAGACCAAAGAGGGGGACCUUCGGGCCUCUUGCCAUCGGAUGUGCCCAGAUGGGAUUAGCUAGUAGGUGGGGUAACGGCUCACCUAGGCGACGAUCCCUAGCUGGUCUGAGAGGAUGACCAGCCACACUGGAACUGAGACACGGUCCAGACUCCUACGGGAGGCAGCAGUGGGGAAUAUUGCACAAUGGGCGCAAGCCUGAUGCAGCCAUGCCGCGUGUAUGAAGAAGGCCUUCGGGUUGUAAAGUACUUUCAGCGGGGAGGAAGGGAGUAAAGUUAAUACCUUUGCUCAUUGACGUUACCCGCAGAAGAAGCACCGGCUAACUCCGUG
rnacentral:rRNA from 1 species